ensembl:snRNA U6 U6 spliceosomal RNA
AUGCUUGAUUUGAUACCACAUAUACUAAAAUUGAGGUUAUACAGAAGAUUAGCAUGGCCCCUGCAUAAGUAUAUCUCACAAAUUCAUAAACAUUCCAUAUUUUU